rnacentral:rRNA from 1 species
GAGGAGCCCGCGGCCUAUCAGCUAGUUGGUGAGGUAACGGCCCACCAAGGCUUUGACGGGUAGCUGGUCUGAGAGGACGACCAGCCACACUGGGACUGAGACACGGCCCAGACACCUACGGGUGGCAGCAGUCGAGAAUUUUUCUCAAUGGGGGAAACCCUGAAGGAGCGACGCCGCGUGGAGGAUGAAGGUCUUCGGGUUGUAAACUCCUGUCAUUUGGGAACAAUGCGCAAAUAUUAACUGUAUUUGCGUUGAUAGUACCAGAAGAGGAAGGGACGGCUAACUCUGUGCCAGCAGCCGCGGUAAUACAGAGGUCUCAAGCGUUGUUCGGAUUCAUUGGGCGUAAAGGGUGCGUAGGCGGCGCGGUAAGUCGGGUGUGAAAUCUUGGAGCUUAACUCCGAAACUGCAUUCGAUACUGCCGUGCUUGAGGACUGGAGAGGAGACUGGAAUUUACGGUGUAGCGGUGAAAUGCGUAGAUAUCGUAAGG